CUUCACGAGAUGCGUCGGCAAGCUCCGACUAAGACGCACACCAACCCGCAGUUCAUGGGUGGUUCGGAUGAAGAAGCGGCCGUGGCCACGAGGCGCCGGCAAGAGCUAGCG
rnacentral:ncRNA from 2 species